rnacentral:rRNA from 1 species
AUUGAACGCUGGCGGCAUGCCUUACACAUGCAAGUCGAACGGUAACAGGUUAAGCUGACGAGUGGCGAACGGGUGAGUAAUGUAUCGGAACGUGCCCAGUCGUGGGGGAUAACUACUCGAAAGAGUGGCUAAUACCGCAUACGACCUGAGGGUGAAAGCGGGGGACCGUAAGGCCUCGCGCGAUUGGAGCGGCCGAUAUCAGAUUAGCUAGUGGGUUGGGUAAAAGCCCACCAAGGCGACGAUCUGUAGCUGGUCUGAGAGGGCGAGCAGCCACACUGGGACUGAGACACGGCCCAGACUCCUACGGGAGGCAGCAGUGGGGAAUUUUGGACAAUGGACGCAAGUCUGAUCCAGCCAUGCCGCGUGCGGGAAGAAGGCCUUCGGGUUGUAAACCGCUUUUGUCAGGGAAGAAACGAGUUUCUCUAAUACAGAGACUUAAUGACGGUACCUGAAGAAUAAGCACCGGCUAACUACGUGCCAGCCGCCGCAGUAACAC